rnacentral:rRNA from 1 species
GACGAACGCUGGCGGCGUGCUUAACACAUGCAAGUCGAGGGGGCUCAGCAAUGGGUCACCGGCGAACGGGUGCGUAACACGUGAGCGACCUGCCCAACUGCGGGGGAUAGCCGGCCCAACGGCCGGGUAAUACCGCAUACGCUCUACGGAGGAAAGCCGGGGACCGCAAGGCCUGGCGCUAGUAGAUGAGCCCAAAUCGGAUUAGCUAGUUGGUGAGGUAACGGCUCACCAAGGCGACGAUCCGUAGCUGGUUUGAGAGAACGACCAGCCACACCGGAACUGAGACACGGUCCGGACUCCUACGGGAGGCAGCAGUGGGGAAUAUUGGACAAUGGGCGAAAGCCUGAUCCAGCGACGCCGCGUGGGUGAAGAAGGCCUGCGGGUUGUAAAGCCCUUUCGGUUGGGAAGAAAAGUAUUGGCCUAAUACGCUAGUACCUUGACGUAACCAACAAAGAAGCACCGGCUAACUCUGUGCCAGCCGCCGCCGUAAC